CGCCCACGGCCCCGCGGCGCCGAGGACUGGAGCUCGAGCUGCCCGGUUUGGCGCGCGGGGAGUUGUCCCGUGAAGCUUUCCAGGGGUGCAGGCGCCCCUUCCCGCACUGUCUGCCUCCCCGCGAAGCAGAGAAGGCAGUGACUAGCUAGCUCCAUUUCAGAGCCGGGAAACUGAGGCCCAAGGAGAGCUCCCCGGAGGAUCUUAGCCCCCUGCUUGUGCUCACAGACCAUGACCAGCUGCAAAGGGCCCACUGCCAUCACUGGCCUAGUAGAAUGAGAAGUGCUGAAGGGUCCCAGGUCCCUGUUUUCCUCUCCUUCGGCAGCCACCAUCACCUUCUCCAUUCCAUUGGAAUUCUCUGAUUCCCAAGAGGAAAUAUGGGCUCGCCAACAAUCAGCCUUCCUGCUGGCCCCUAACACAAGAAUUAUUUCACUGUGGAGGACUUUUUACUGUUAAGCACUAUGGGAAGGUAUUCGGGGGAUAAAAUAAAAUACUAAAAAAUGGGAACUUACAAAGCUGACCAAGUUUUCACAUCAGUAGCUCUCCUCUAAUUCCUAACUCCCUCUGAGGUGAUAAGUGAAAGUCCAUUUGGUUCUUGUCAGCUUUUAUUCCUGAAAGUUGUUCUUCCCAAGCAGCCCCCUCUCUCUAGCCUAGGCUUGAGGCUCCCUGUGGGCAAGUAAAAGUGUCUGAGUUGUCCCAGUAUUCUUGGUAUUUAGCAUGGCACCAGCACGUAAGACUAAUAUUUAUGGAGCACUUAACAGUGUAGCAAGUACUGUAUGAUGCCUUUUUGUGGAUUAUCUCCUUUACUCCUCAGUUGAUCCUUUGAGGGAGUUAUUAGUAUGGCCUCUUAUUAGAAAAGAGGAAACCGAGGCACA